UACGAAGGGGGCUAGCGUUGCUCGGAAUCACUGGGCGUAAAGGGUGCGUAGGCGGGUCUUUAAGUCAGGGGUGAAAUCCUGGAGCUCAACUCCAGAACUGCCUUUGAUACUGAGGAUCUUGAGUUCGGGAGAGGUGAGUGGAACUGCGAGUGUAGAGGUGAAAUUCGUAGAUAUUCGCAAGAACACCAGUGGCGAAGGCGGCUCACUGGCCCGAUACUGACGCUGAGGCACGAAAGCGUGGGGAGCGAACAGG
rnacentral:rRNA from 1 species